GCCUCAUAGCACACCUGGGGCAGAGCCACGUGGGGACUGAUCCCGGUGAGGGAAUGAAGACGGGACCGAAGACGGAAGAGGACACCCACGGGUAGAAAUGGCACUUUCCGAAAGCAGCCGGCACAGCAUGGCCCCUGAACCGGAGAAGGCUGCUUCGAAGCCUCUCGCCCCUCUGGUCUCCAAGAGCCUCUACGGCCUGCGCUUCGUGGCCAGCAAACUCCUCCGGGCCGUGGAGCAGGUGAUGCUGCUGCUGGGGCUCCUGAUCUACAGCAUCUUCCUGGCGGAGAUUGUCUUCCACGUGGUCGCCUCCUUCUCCAUCCCGCUCUCCAUCUUGCGGGAGCACCUGAUCCCCGCCAGCCUGGCCUUGCUGGAGGCCCUGAGUCCGGCCGGGGUGGUUUUCUACCACGAAGUCGUCGGGGCCCUCCUGCUCUUCCUCAGCGCCCUUCUCCUGCCCUUGGCUGCCGCCUGCUGCUUGCAGUUCUUUCUCUUCCCAAGUUACUUCAAGCUCAUGAAGCUUGUGUGGUGAGAAGACAGUCAACCGACUGACGGGGCCCCCAGGUUCCCUCUCAAUACACAAAGUGAACCCUGG
rnacentral:lncRNA from 11 species